AACGAACGCUGGCGGCAUGCCUAACACAUGCAAGUCGAACGAGACCUUCGGGUCUAGUGGCGCACGGGUGCGUAACGCGUGGGAACCUGCCCUUAGGUUCGGAAUAACUCCCCGAAAGGGGUGCUAAUACCGGAUAAUGUCUUCGGACCAAAGAUUUAUCGCCUUUGGAUGGGCCCGCGUUGGAUUAGCUAGUUGGUAGGGUAAAAGCCUACCAAGGCGACGAUCCAUAGCUGGUCUGAGAGGAUGAUCAGCCACACUGGGACUGAGACACGGCCCAGACUCCUACGGGAGGCAGCAGUGGGGAAUAUUGGACAAUGGGCGAAAGCCUGAUCCAGCAAUGCCGCGUGAGUGAUGAAGGCCUUAGGGUUGUAAAGCUCUUUUACCCGGGAUGAUAAUGACAGUACCGGGAGAAUAAGCUCCGGCGAACUCCGUGC
rnacentral:rRNA from 1 species